rnacentral:ncRNA from 1 species
UUAGGGCAAAGUCAUUGAAAAAUGACGACGCAAAGCUAUGAGUCUAAGGCAGGAAACUGCUAUGACUGUCAGGCUGCA